rnacentral:rRNA from 1 species
CAGCAAUGUCAGUGGCGGACGGGUGAGUAACACGUAGGAAUGUGUCUUGAGGUGGGGGACAACCCUGGGAAACUAGGGCUAAUACCGCAUAUGUCCUGAGGGACAAAGCAGCGAUGCGCCUUGAGAGUAGCCUGCGUCCGAUUAGCUAGUUGGUGGGGUAAAGGCCUACCAAGGCGACGAUCGGUAGCUGGUCUGAGAGGACGACCAGCCACACUGGGACUGAGACACGGCCCAGACUCCUACGGGAGGCAGCAGUGGGGAAUAUUGGACAAUGGGCGCAAGCCUGAUCCAGCAAUGCCGCGUGGGUGAAGAAGGUCUUCGGAUCGUAAAGCCCUUUCGGCGGGGACGAUGAUGACGGUACCCGCAGAAGAAGCCCCGGCUAACUUCGUGCCAGCAGCCGCGGUAAUACGAAGGGGGCUAGCGUUACUCGGAAUUACUGGGCGUAAAGGGCGCGUAGGCGGCGCACCAAGUUAGGCGUGAAAGUCCUGGGCUCAACCUGGGAACUGCGCUUGAUACUGGUGUGCUUGAGGAUGGAAGAGGGUUGUGGAAUUCCCAGUGUAUAGGUGAAAUUCGUAGAUAUUGGGAAGAACACCGGUGGCGAAGGCGGCAAC